rnacentral:rRNA from 1 species
GACGAACGCUGGCGGCGUGCUUAACACAUGCAAGUCGAACGGAAAGGCCCUGCUUUUGUGGGGUGCUCGAGUGGCGAACGGGUGAGUAACACGUGAGUAACCUGCCCUUGACUUUGGGAUAACUUCGGGAAACUGGGGCUAAUACCGGAUAGGAGCUCCUGCUGCAUGGUGGGGGUUGGAAAGUUUCGGCGGUUGGGGACGGACUCGCGGCUUAUCAGCUUGUUGGUGGGGUAGUGGCUUACCAAGGCUUUGACGGGUAGCCGGCCUGAGAGGGUGACCGGCCACAUUGGGACUGAGAUACGGCCCAGACUCCUACGGGAGGCAGCAGUGGGGAAUAUUGCACAAUGGGCGGAAGCCUGAUGCAGCAACGCCGCGUGCGGGAUGACGGCCUUCGGGUUGUAAACCGCUUUCGCCUGUGACGAAGCGUGAGUGACGGUAAUGGGUAAAGAAGCACCGGCUAACUACGUG